GUAGGUGAACCUGCGGAAGGAUCAUUAUUGAAUAUUCUUGAUGGGUUGUAGCUGGCUCUUUGGAGCAUGUGCACGCCUGUCUUGACUUAAUUCAUCCACCUGUGCACUUUUUGUAGUCUUGGAGGUUGAGAGCGGUCGACUAUCGGAUGGCUGUUAUGGCCUUUCCGGAUGUGAGGAAUUGCUGAGUGCAAAAGCAUACAGCUCUUCUCAAAAUGACUCGCAAUACCUCUCCUUCAAGUACUAUGUAUUCAUAUACCACAUAGUAUGUUGUAGAAUGUGAUCAAUGGGCUUAUGGCCUAUAAUAAUGAAAUACAACUUUCAGCAACGGAUCUCUUGGCUCUC
rnacentral:misc_RNA from 1 species